GGCCUCCCAUCUCCGGGUCUGCGGCGGGCGCUCCCCCUCACCACAUCACCCCACCCUGCGGAGAGGCAAGCAGAGGGAGUUCGCCAAGGCUGAGACCGCGGGCGCGAGGGCCUCCGAAGGGACAGAGAAACCCUGGUCGUCCUGGACUCUUCCGUUCCUCCUGUCUUCCAAGUAGAAGACAAGAUGCCGUGAGCAGAUUCCCUGCGUGGACCACGGGCGUGGCCGCGACUCUGAUGUGGCUGGAAGCAAGAUCCAAUGCCUGAGGGUCCCUGGAUGGGCCCUCCUUUGCGAAACCGGCAUGCCAUCCCAGGGGUGCAGGGUGGAGGGGGGACCCCCUGCGAGGAUCCAGCCCAUCUCCCCAUCACCCGUCUUGCGAAGCCAUCACGAGGCGGUCAGGACCCACGAGCCGGUGUCAACCUUCCCCCGGGGCGGGGGGCCAUGCUGGCAUCUACAACCUCCAUCCAUCCCCCCGGGGUGGGGGCGUUCCCACCCAGCCCCGCCCACCUGGCCCGUGCCUCCUGGGGAGUUUCAUCCGCCUCGCCCCCGCGCGCAGUGAUAACUCUCCGGGUGGGGACCCUGCCGCCCAGCGGGGCCUCCCACGGGAAGGCUCUCCGCUUACUCCCGGCUUGACGCGUCCGGAGGACAAGCAGCUUCAGAUCGCACCAUCACCGUUUCCGGCAGGCGCCGCUGCGGUCCGACCCUCCUCACGUCUCAGAUGCAGCCCCGUUCGUCUUGACAAACGCGACGCGCGCCCGGAGCUCUUCGGCUUCGUCCCGUACGUGCAGGAGAAAGACGCCCAAGGGAUCCCAGCUGCUCUCCUUGCCGACGCUCCCCACUCUGAGGGGUUUAACCCGUCUGCCGCGAGAAGACACCCGGAUGGGGAAGAAAAGAGAGUGACCCUGGAAAAUACAAGAUGCUGGGGACUUUGCAACCGGGACAAGAGGGUUCUGGGACCUCCCCCAAAACGCACCCGGUAGCGUCGUCUCUCUCUGGGACUCUCAAGGAUGCCGCAGUGAUCUUUCCACGUUGCACCAUGGAUAAGACUUGUGGGAGCCCUUCCAGGCAGCCACGGAGGACUCCGGAGCAUUUAUUGUUAUUAUUUUUUUUCCUGUCUGCUCUGUUUAAACCGAGAGGGAUCCAGGUUGACGGUGGAGGUGGGCCCCCCGCCCUGGGGGGUGCGUGUGUGUCUGUGAAUGUCCCCGCCGAUGCCGACCCCCAGCCCCCACUGACCCGUUCUCAAGCUGCUGAUGAGCGUUUUCUACGUCUACCCCCCACCCACCCCCCGCCCCCCAAGCGCUCCGUCUUUCUGUCCCGCGGGUGUGGUCUGUGGCGCCUCUGUUUUAUCUCGUCUCGUGGCUUCUGCCUGCCCCCUGCGUGGAGACGGGCAAUAAAGAGAAAAGCUAUUCCAGACAUUAUGGCUAUUCCAGAAAAUAAAAUAUUUUUGAAACCGCA
ensembl:lncRNA